GACGAACGCUGGCGGCGUGCCUAAUACAUGCAAGUAGAACGCUGAAGAGAGGAGCUUGCUCUUCUUGGAUGAGUUGCGAACGGGUGAGUAACGCGUAGGUAACCUGCCUUGUAGCGGGGGAUAACUAUUGGAAACGAUAGCUAAUACCGCAUAACAAUGGAUGACACAUGUCAUUUAUUUGAAAGGGGCAAUUGCUCCACUACAAGAUGGACCUGCGUUGUAUUAGCUAGUAGGUGAGGUAAUGGCUCACCUAGGCGACGAUACAUAGCCGACCUGAGAGGGUGAUCGGCCACAAUGGGAAUGAGAAACGGCCCAGACUCCUACGGGAGGCAGCCGUAGGGAAUCUUCGGCGAUGGGGGCAAACCUGAACGAGCAACGCCGCGUGAGUGAAGAAGGGUUUCGGAUCGUAAAGCUCUGUUGUAAGUCAAGAACGGAUGUGAGAAUGGAAAGUUCACACUGUGACGGUAGCUUAACAGAAAGGGACGGCUAACUACGUG
rnacentral:rRNA from 1 species